rnacentral:rRNA from 1 species
UACGUAGGGUGCGAGCGUUAAUCGGAAUUACUGGGCGUAAAGGGUGCGCAGGCGGCUCCGCAUGUCGGGCGUGAAAUCCCCGGGCUUAACCUGGGAAUUGCGCUUGAAACUAGGCUGCUUGAGUGUGGCAGAGGGGGGUGGAAUUCCACGUGUAGCAGUGAAAUGCGUAGAGAUGUGGAGGAACACCGAUGGCGAAGGCAGCCCCCUGGGUCAAACAUCGAUCGACGCUCAUGCACGAAAGCGUGGGGAGCAAACAGG